ACUUAGCGAAUCGCAUUAGCCUUUGUGCUGGCGAUGGUACAUUCAAAUUUCUGCCCUAUCAAUUUGAUGGUAGGAUAGAGGCCUACCAUGGUUUUUACGGGUGACGGAGAAUUAGGGUUCGAUUCCGGAGAGGGAGCCUGAGAGAUGGCUACCACUUCUAAGGAAGGCAGCAGGCGCGCAAAUUACCCAAUCCUGAUACAGGGAGGUAGUGACAAGAAAUAACAAUACAGGUCCCAAUACGGGCCUUGUAAUUGGAAUGAGUACAAUUUAAACCCCUUAAUGAGUAACAAUUGGAGGGCAAGUCUGGUGCCAGCAGCCGCGGUAAUUCCAGCUCCAAUAGCAUAUAUUAAAAUUUGUUGCAGUUAAAAAAGCUCGUAGUUGGAUCUCGGAACAGGGAAUAACUGGUCUGCCGGUUGGUAUGUACUGUUGUUCCCGUUCUCUACUGAUGGAAACUUAUCUCUACUCUUAAAUGAGCGGAGAGUAGAUCAGUAGAAUGAAUGUGUUUUCGAACUCAUUCAUUCAAUUU
rnacentral:rRNA from 1 species